rnacentral:ncRNA from 1 species
GAUGAACCCUAAAAAGUUCUAAAAGCAUAAAGGUUUGGUCCUAGCCUUAUUAUCAAUUGUCUCUUAACUUACACAUGCAAGUCUCAGCACCCCAGUGAGGAAGCCCUUCUCCCCUUCCCCAGGACGAGGAGCCGGUAUCAGGCGCAAUUUUUUGCCCACGACACCUAGUUCAACCACACCCCCAAGGGUAGUCAGCAGUGAUAAACAUUGUUUAUAAGCGACAGCUUGACCCAGUCAGAGAGAAGAAAGUUGGCCAACUCGGUGCCAGCCGCCGCGGUUAUACCUCAUGAACUUAAAUUGAUAGUAGUCGGCGUUAAGCGUGGUUAAAGGUUUUUAAUAAUUAGAGUUAAACAUCUGCCCCAGCUGUGAAAAGCACGCGUGAUUGAAAGCCACAAACGAAAGUUACUCUAAUAAAUUCUUGAACCCACGACAGUAGGAGAACAAACUGGGAUUAGAUACCCCACUAUGCCUACCGUAAAAUAUUGACUCACAAAUACCAGCGCCCGGGAAUUACGAGCUCAGCUUAAAACCCAAAGGACUUGACGGUGUCCCACCCAACUAGAGGAGCCUGUUCUAUAAUCGAUAAUCCCCGCUUCACCUGACCUUUUUUUGCUCUUCAGCCUGUAUACCUCCGUCGUAAACUUACCAUAUGAAUGUCUUAUAGUGUUGUUCAAUGUUUUACCUAUCAGAACGUCAGGUCAAGGUGCAGCCUAUAAAAAGGCAAGCAAUGGGCUACAAUCUUCAACUUAAAACAAACGAAAUACUGCAUGAAACCCAGUCAUGAAGGUGGAUUUAGUAGUAAAGAGAAACUAGUGAGUUCUCUUGAAUAAGGCCCUGGGACGCGUACACACCGCCCGUCGCCCUCUUCGAAAACCCAAAUUAGCUAUAUAACCCUCUAGACCACAUAGAGAAGAGGUAAGUCGUAA